rnacentral:tRNA from 1 species
AUUGAUCAAAAAGAGAAAGAGAAAGAACGUUGAGCUAUUGCAAGUAAUGAUUAGUAUUUCCAUUAAUCUAAUUAGUUGAAUUGUUACAAUCGACUCUUUAACGACUGCAAAAAGAGACGGAGAGUAUUUUUUAAAUAGUAUACUUCAUACUGCAAAUUGUUUGAGAAUAUAAUAGAUAAAAUAUUGUACUCAAAAGGAUUUGCUUGUGACAGAUUUGUACAAAACCUCCACAAUACUACAGUAUGUGUUGUAGUAAAGUAAUGCCUAUAUUCUUCUAUAUUGGCUGAAAGGUCAUGAAUUGGGUCUAAGGUCUAGCUUUAGCUAAAUAUAUGAACCAUAAAAAGGAUAUGGCUCUAUAUGUUUACACCAUGUGUCUAGUUGAAUAAAUAGGACACGGUGUGUGGUUACCUGGUAAAUUUUAUUCAUCAUUUAUUCGCAUGGCACUUUUGAAUGAUAUUCUCAUUUAGAGUAACUGCAAGGAGGACUCUAUUAACUCUUAUAUGGACAACUACCAAUCCCCUUAUCAGUGGAAUGUUCACGCAUCAUUAUUCAAUCUUAUUCUUUAAAUACUUCGAUAAGAUUGUUAUUGAUUUUAAGAAGUAACUGGCGUUUUCUUUCUAUCAGUUAUAGAAAAUAAUCAAAAGCUUUCCUUAGUAUUAAAGAAUGAUGUUGAAGCUGCAGGAUAUUGCUAUAAACUAUAUUAUUCAGAAUUUUCAAUGUUUCUUCGCCAAUAAAACCAUUUGGGAAAGAUGGUUACGAAUGGAUAUACCUCCGUUAUUUACUCAAAUGAUAUUAGAACGAUUGGACGAUUGGUUAAUUGGUAUUCCUGAAGAAUAUUUAAAAUUCUGUACAAGAGCUCCGUACUUUUUACCUAAAAUGAAAUUAAAUUGUAAAAGGAUAAAGGAAAUAUCGUCGUUAGAAUUCUUACAAGGUCAACAUUUUAAAAAGGUUAUUAUCAGUAACUUAAAGCAAUAUGGAAUAGAAGAUUGGAUGAAUUUUUUAGAAUCAUCCGAAUUAAUUGAAUUAUCGAUAAGAGGAUGUAAACUUAAUAAAAAGGAACAGGCAAAUGGAUUCAAAAAUAUUGAAUAUAUGCAUUGUUUUAAACGUUUUAAGAAUCUAUCAAAACUAAAUCUAUCUUUUACAAAUAUUACAAAUGCAGAAUUGAAAUUUAUAACAAUUGAAUUGCAUCAAAUUGAACAUUUAAAUAUCUCUCAUACGCAUUUGACGAAACUAUGCUCUCUUGUUAACUUUUCUAAAUUACUCUCUCUUGAUUGUUCAUUUCCCCACUGCAAAUCUAUAUAUGAUUCAUAUCUUGUACUAUUAGACCUGAAACAUUUAAGAUAUUUGGAUAUAUCUAGAAAGACUUCAAUGACUUGCGAAAGAAAUCCUCUAGACUGCGAGGAAAUAUUCCUUAAGAAAGUUGUUUGUCUCGGAAUACCUGAACAUAAAUUUUUCUACUAUAAAUCUUGGUCUAUAUCCGAAUUUAUAGAUUUUGCCUAUUGGAAGGAUAUGACCCACUUAAAUGUAUCAGGAGAUUGGGAAUUAUCUAGUGAAAGUGCUGGUAAUUUCAUAAAGAAACACAAGAAACUGGAAUUUAUAGGCUUAUAUCGUAAAGGUAGUAGUUACAGAACUCAAAGACCAAAGAAUAUAUCCAGCAACGAGUUUGACCGUUUAACUAGAUACAGCGAUGAUAUCGUUUCUAGAACGUUUAAAGCUAUACCUCUCGUUAAAGAUAACAUUCCUAUAGUAGAAAUACUUGUAAGAAAUUUGGUAUGUCAUGUGGAAAUGAGCAUAGAUGAAGAAAGAUUACGAUCAAGACUUGAACCGGAAGUGUUGAAAAUAUCGGAGGUCAUUUUUUAUCAACUGGGACUGUUGAAGCAGACGUUAUGUACGCAUUAUGAACGCUAUAGGGAGAAUAUCUUUGUUCUUGAUCAAUUAAUAGUCAUAUUACAAUAUAUUGAUAUAAGAAAAUCACCGUAUUUUAUGGAUAUAUUAAAAACUUGCUACCAAAUUCUAGAACUCAAUAAAAACUGUUCUAUUUUAAUGCAUUCCUUAUCGGGCCUUUUACGAAUUCUUCAUACUUAUUUCAAGUAUAUUCCAAUGGUCAUUAACAAAAGUCAACUCGUCGAAACGCUAUUAAAAUUUGAGUUUGAACGCUAUUGGAUGGAGCACGAGAUUGUGUUAAUAACCCUUCUAAGCAAUUUUCGAUAUGAAGAGUUUACAAAGGAUGAAAUUUUAUCAUUGCUCAAAAGUUUCUUAGAACUGGAUAGUCGUUCACAACAAAGGACAACCUGCAAAGCUUUCAUCUCAAGAAUAUCCUACCAAAGUUUUUUCUCUUUUAUGUGGGAUGUUAUUGAGAAUAGGUUAAAUUUACAAUUUUCUAAUAAUGGUAUCUACUAUAAUGAUGAAGAACUGUUACAUAUUCCAAAUAUGGAAAGUUUAGUUAAAAGAAAGCAGUUUUACCUGGAGGCCUAGUUUGGCUUAUUAUUUGUUUAUUAGGCGGACAGAAACAAGUAAAAAACUGUUUAUUUAUUUAUUUGCUUGUUUAUUGUAUCUUGUUAAUAAUACUCUCUAUUUUUCAAAUAUGAUAUUAAAAACUUGCGAAAAGUUCUUUAAAAAAAAAUUCAGGUCCCACCGAGAUUUGAACUCGGAUCGUUGGAUUCAAAGUCCAAAGUGCUAACCGUUACACCAUGGGACCGUUCACGACAUUUGACGACAUAUAUCGCUAGUUGGAACGAGCUAAAUAUUUUUUUUUUGCACACACUAAUAGUGACGUUAACAUAUUUAUUCAUUCUAUAUCGGUCGUCUUCAAGAAAGUGCUGAAACGUUAAAUACUUGUGGUUUUAACUAUUUCGUUUGAUAUAGUUAUCCUUGAACUCUAAGUAGGUCAAAAGAAAAAAAAAGUAAAAUUUUUUAUUUAUCAUAGUUUCAAAAUCCAAAAAAUAAGAAUGGAAAUAAUGUAACAAAAUACUAGUCACAUGAUCAGCCGACCAAUGAGUCAUUGAACAAGGCGUUCUAAACAAUUAAACUUGCGAAUAGAUCAAAUUUAAGUGUAACAAAGUAAAAGUAUAGUAAAAUCAAUUUAAUACACAGAUAAAGGUCUCCAUGACCUAGAAGAAUACUGAUUUAAUAAUUGAAUAAUAAACACGAAUUAAUUUUUCUUUAUUAAAAAUAUAUAACCAGAGGUAAAUGCUUUUAGUAGAAAAUAUAGAAAAGUAGGAGAGAUGAAAGAUAAAGAUAUCUAGAUCGUUUUAAAAUUAUAAUACUCUUACGGUACUUAAUUAAGAUACUCACUUUAUAAUAUUUACAAACUAUCCGUAUAAUUAAUUAUGCAUAAAUGAAAGAAAACGCUCACUACUAUUGAACAUUAAAUAUUCAUACUUGUGACAAAACAACAAUAUAGAAUUGUAUACAAAUUUUAUAAAAACUGCAUUAUUAAGGAAAUAUUUCAAUCUUCUGUUGAGAAAAAAAGACAAUAUAUACAGAAAGAAUAUAAUAAUAUUUCUGUACAGAAUAAUCAAAUUUUACAUAAUUUCACAUUUUUGUUUGAGAUUGAUCAAUUGAUUUCUUCUUGUUAAUGUCCCAGGGGCUUUCUUGUGACCAAGAACAUCUGUCCUAUCGCCAUUAGUGAACUUUCCACAGUAGAAUCUAAACAGAACGUUAUAUGCUAACGUUCUGUUCACAUUACAUGUUAUGAGUGAAUGAGUGUCAGUGUGUGAGCGUCAGUAUGUGAGCGUCACUUAAGAAGGGAGUUUGACUUAGCCCAGAGCUGGGACAGUCCAACUUGAUGUUAUGUCACGUCGUUGAUAACGACUUAUAAAAGGGAGUGAAUGUAAUAGAACGGUGUGAGAGACCAAAAGAACAUCAAAUACAAUUUAUACGAAAUCCUUAGGGAUUUCGUGCUAUAAGCGAAAAACAAAAUCUUAUAAAGAAUCAAUAGAAUCAUCAUUGCAAUUCUCAAGUAAAGAUAGAUAAUUUGUCUUCAUUUUAAUUUCUCUUAAAAACAUCUUGCUUAGGCCAAAGUUGAAAAAAACUUUAAUUUUCAUUAAAAAAAUGAUGUUCAAAUUUAGGCUAUCGGUACUGUGCAAUUGGGUGAGGGUUAUAAUAAAUUAAUUAGUGAUGGAAGCUUUAGAUUACACUCUCAAAUCAUGAAUGCAUUAAGAGAUCAAAAUAUACUUCGAAUAGUUCAACUAACCUCAUGGUUAAUAGUUUCUAACAACCAUUCUUACGGAGUUAAACUAAAAUUUAAGGAAAGUUCAUCUAUGUCGGAGUUAACAAUCACGUAACCCCUCAAAGGCGAACGACAAAAAGGACACUGAGGCUUAGCCAGACUUACCAAGCAUGGUUUGCAUCCAACCAUGUGAGCACAAGGCAAUCCUAAACAGUUGGAAAGAGCAUUACAGCAAAUGUUGCAGCUCAAAAUUUUCAUCGUGUCCUCGAAAAUGUCUUUUUGUGAACGCUUGUUGGUAGCAUGCUCAUGCUUGUUUCUUGUUUCUAAGAAAUAAACAUAUCCUCAAUUGAUUUCCCAUAUGGUAUUUUAAAGAAUAUUACGCAUAUCUUUAGUUUCAUGCCAUAUUCUCUAAACCACGUAUUCUAUUGCGUUGCUUCUUUUUUCAUGGAGUAAAUUUAAACUUUAGCUCCAUCUGGUUGAUAAAAUUUUUAAACUUUCUCCAUGUGUGACUAAUGAAAAAAAUAUAUUAUUCAUUUUGCAAUUUGUUCAAAGGAAACGGUAUAGACUAGCUGAUGUGACAGCUAUAGUCAUUGCUCUUCAGAUGGUAGUUGUUGAAAGAUGAAAAGAUAAGACCACUCAAAAGAAACAAAUACAUUUUGUUGAGUGUUAAAGAAGAAUAUGAUAGACAAUAUAAAAUUAACGUACUUGAUUUAUUUAAUAUGUUGCCUUAUUGUUGGAAUCUUAUCAAAUGUAAUUAUACUAUUGUGUUACCCUUUUAAAGCGAAAAAUUCAACUUUAGCAAACAUUUUUGUGAAAAUUUUAGCUUAUGCAGACCUGUCAAUAUGUUCCUUAUGUAUACCUGGAUUUGUUAUUGAAUUAUUCCUUAUUAAUAAAAUAAUAUGCGAAAUUUUGGUUCUAUGUUCAACAACAAUCAUAGCUUUUGGAUUAUUUACUAGCAUGGCUGUAGUUCUCGAAAGAUGGUUUGCUGCAUUUAAACCUUACUCUUUGAAAAGGAAACAUAUUUAUAUUAUAAAUGGUUUGAAUAUUAUUAUUACUGUAUUGUCAACAUUCUUUAAUGUAAGUAUUGGAUCAGAGAAUCUAUCCAACAACGAAACUGUUAUUGUUAAUUGUUUUAAAAGUAAAUUGCAGGGUUCAAAAUUAUUGAAUAGCAUUAGUUUAGGCGUUUUUUCAAUAAUUAUUGUAGUUGAAUUUUUUAUAUAUAUUCAUAUCUUUAUAUAUCUAUUAAAGAAAUUAAGAUUAUA